rnacentral:rRNA from 1 species
CCUACGGGGGGCUGCAGUAGGGAAUCUUGCGCAAUGGGCGAAAGCCUGACGCAGCCAUGCCGCGUGAAUGAUGAAGGUCUUAGGAUUGUAAAAUUCUUUCACCGGGGACGAUAAUGACGGUACCCGGAGAAGAAGCUCCGGCUAACUUCGUGCCAGCAGCCGCGGUAAUACGAAGGGGGCUAGCGUUGCUCGGAAUUACUGGGCGUAAAGGGCGCGUAGGCGGACAGUUUAGUCAGAGGUGAAAGCCCAGGGCUCAACCUUGGAAUAGCCUUUGAUACUGGCUGUCUUGAGUACGGGAGAGGUGUGUGGAACUCCGAGUGUAGAGGUGAAAUUCGUAGAUAUUCGGAAGAACACCAGUGGCGAAGGCGACACACUGGCCCGUUACUGACGCUGAGGCGCGAAAGCGUGGGGAGCAAACAGGAUUAGAUACCCUAGUAGUC